rnacentral:rRNA from 1 species
AGAGUUUGAUCAUGGCUCAGGAUGAACGCUGGCGGCGUGCCUAACACAUGCAAGUCGAGCGAUUCUCUUCGGAGAAGAGCGGCGGACGGGUGAGUAACGCGUGGGUAACCUGCCCUGUACACACGGAUAACAUACCGAAAGGUAUGCUAAUACGAGGAUAAUAUACUUUUAUCGCAUGAUAGAAGUAUCAAAGCUCCGGCGGUACAGGAUGGACCCGCGUCUGAUUAGCUAGUUGGUAAGGUAACGGCUUACCAAGGCGACGAUCAGUAGCCGACCUGAGAGGGUGAUCGGCCACAUUGGAACUGAGACACGGUCCAAACUCCUACGGGAGGCAGCAGUGGGGAAUAUUGCACAAUGGGCGAAAGCCUGAUGCAGCAACGCCGCGUGAGCGAUGAAGGCCUUCGGGUCGUAAAGCUCUGUCCUCAAGGAAGAUAAUGACGGUACUUGAGGAGGAAGCCCGGCUAACUACGUG